rnacentral:rRNA from 1 species
GAUGAACGCUAGCUACAGGCUUAACACAUGCAAGUCGAGGGGUAACGAGAGGAAAGCUUGCUUUCCUUGUCGACGACCGGCGCACGGGUGAGUAACGCGUAUCCAACCUGCCCCCAACUAGGGAAUAACCUUGCGAAAGUAAGACUAAUACCCUAUAAUUUCCUCAGAUGUCAUCUGACGAGGAAUAAAGAUUUAUCGGUUGUGGAUGGGGAUGCGUCUGAUUAGCUUGUUGGCGGGGUAACGGCCCACCAAGGCAACGAUCAGUAGGGGUUCUGAGAGGAAGGUCCCCCACAUUGGAACUGAGACACGGUCCAAACUCCUACGGGAGGCAGCAGUGAGGAAUAUUGGCCAAUGGGCGGAAGCCUGAACAGCCAAGUAGCGUGCAGGAUGACGGCCCUAUGGGUUGUAAACUGCUUUUAUACAGGAAUAAAGUUAGCCACGUGUGGUUAUUUGUAGGUACUGUAUGAAUAAGGACCGGCUAAUUCCGUGCCAGCCGCCGCAGUAA